rnacentral:rRNA from 1 species
GACGUAGGGCGCGAGCGUUGUCCGGAUUUAUUGGGCGUAAAGGGCUCGUAGGCGGUUCGUCACGUCGGGAGUGAAAACUCGGGGCUUAACCCCGAGCCUGCUUCCGAUACGGGCAGACUAGAGGUAGGCAGGGGAGAGCGGAACCUCGUGGUGUAGCGGUGGAAUGCGCAGAUAUCAGGAAGAACACCGGUGGCGAAGGCGGUUAGCUGGGCAGUUGCUGACACUGAGGCGCGACAGCGUGGGGAGCAAACAGG